rnacentral:rRNA from 1 species
UGGGGAAUAUUGGACAAUGGGCGCAAGCCUGAUCCAGCCAUGCCGCGUGAGUGAUGAAGGCCCUAGGGUUGUAAAGCUCUUUCACCGGUGAAGAUAAUGACGGUAACCGGAGAAGAAGCCCCGGCUAACUUCGUGCCAGCAGCCGCGGUAAUACGAAGGGGGCUAGCGUUGUUCGGAUUUACUGGGCGUAAAGCGCACGUAGGCGGACUUUUAAGUCAGGGGUGAAAUCCCGGAGCUCAACCCCGGAACUGCCUUUGAUACUGGAAGUCUUGAGUAUGGUAGAGGUGAGUGGAAUUCCGAGUGUAGAGGUGAAAUACGUAGAUAUUCGGAGGAACACCAGUGGCGAAGGCGGCUCACUGGACCAUUACUGACGCUGAGGUGCGAAAGCGUGGGGAGCAAACAGG